rnacentral:rRNA from 1 species
CCUACGGGUGGCAGCAGUGAGGAAUAUUGGUCAAUGGACGCAAGUCUGAACCAGCCAUGCAGCGUGCAGGAAGACGGCACUAUGAGUUGUAAACUGCUUUUGUACGAGGGUAAACGCAGAUACGCGUAUCUGUCUGAAAGUAUCGUACGAAUAAGGAUCGGCUAACUCCGUGCCAGCAGCCGCGGUAAUACGGAGGAUUCAAGCGUUAUCCGGAUUUAUUGGGUUUAAAGGGUGCGUAGGCGGUCGGAUAAGUUAGAGGUGAAAUCCCGAGGCUCAACUUCGGAAUUGCCUCUGAUACUGGUCGGCUAGAGUGUAGUUGAGGUAGGCGGAAUGUGUGGUGUAGCGGUGAAAUGCUUAGAGAUCAUGCAGAACACCGAUUGCGAAGGCAGCUUACCGAGCUACUUCUGACGCUGAGGCACGAAAGUGUGGGUAGCAAACAGGAUUAGAUACCAGUGUAGUC